GGGAAGGCCAUCGAGGGCACGCCGUGGGAGGCGCUCAAGCCGUGCAUGAAGGGGAUGAACGCGUGGCUGUUCGUCCACACCGAGGAGGUCCCCGCCGCGCUCAAGCCCUACCGCGCCUUCCAGAAGGAGGAGCGCCUCGAGGAGACCAACGACUUCGUCGGCGCGGUGUUCGAGGGCAAGUUCUACGCCCCCGGGGACUUCAAGGCGCUCGAGACAAUGCCCAGCCGCGCCG
rnacentral:misc_RNA from 1 species